rnacentral:rRNA from 1 species
GAUGAACGCUGGCGGCGUGCCUAAUACAUGCAAGUCGAGCGAACAGAUGAGGAGCUUGCUCCUCUGACGUUAGCGGCGGACGGGUGAGUAACACGUGGAUAACCUACCUAUAAGACUGGGAUAACUUCGGGAAACCGGAGCUAAUACCGGAUAAUAUAUUGAACCGCAUGGUUCAAUAGUGAAAGACGGUUUUGCUGUCACUUAUAGAUGGAUCCGCGCCGCAUUAGCUAGUUGGUAAGGUAACGGCUUACCAAGGCAACGAUGCGUAGCCGACCUGAGAGGGGGAUCGGCCACACUGGAACUGAGACACGGUCCAGGCGCCUACGGGAGGCAGCAGUAGGGAAUCUUCCGCAAUGGGCGAAAGCCUGACGGAGCAACGCCGCGUGAGUGAUGAAGGUCUUCGGAUCGUAAAACUCUGUUAUUAGUGAAGAACAAAUGUGUAAGUAACUAUGCACGUCUUGACGGUACCUAAUCAGAAAGCCACGGCUAACUACGUG